UACGUAGGGUGCAAGCGUUGUCCGGAAUUAUUGGGCGUAAAGAGCUCGCAGGCGGUUUGUUGCGUCGGCUGUGAAAUCCCGAGGCUCAACCUCGGGUCUGCAGUCGAUACGAGCAAACUAGAGUGUUGCAGGGGAGACUGGAAUUCCUGGUGUAGCGGUGAAAUGCGCAGAUAUCAGGAGGAACACCGGUGGCGAAGGCGGGUCUCUGGGCCGAUACUGACGCUGAGGAGCGAAAGCGUGGGGAGCGAACAGG
rnacentral:rRNA from 1 species